rnacentral:rRNA from 1 species
UACGGGAGGCAGCAGUGAGGAAUAUUGGUCAAUGGGCGGAAGCCUGAACCAGCCAUGCCGCGUGCAGGAAUAAGGCCCUAUGGGUCGUAAACUGCUUUUCCUUGAGGGCAAUAAGGGUCACGUGUGGCCCGAUGAGAGUAUCAGGGGAAUAAGCAUCGGCUAACUCCGUGCCAGCAGCCGCGGUAAUACGGAGGAUGCGAGCGUUAUCCGGAUUUAUUGGGUUUAAAGGGUGCGUAGGCGGAUUAUUAAGUCAGUGGUGAAAUACCCGUGCUCAACAUGGGCCGUGCCAUUGAUACUGGUAGUCUAGAGUUCCGUUGCCGUGGGAGGAAUGAGUAGUGUAGCGGUGAAAUGCAUAGAUAUUACUCAGAACACCGAUUGUGAAGACAUCUCACGAAGCGGCGACUGACGCUGAGGCACGAAAGCGUGGGGAUCGAACAGGAUUAGAUACCCUGGUAGUCCACGCAGUAAACGAUGAUGACUAACCGUUGGGAAGCAAUUUUCAGUGGCCAAGUGAAAGCGAUAAGUCAUCCACCUGGGGAGUACGACCGCAAGGUUGAAACUCAAAGGAAUUGACGGGGGCCCGCACAAGCGGAGGAACAUGUGGUUUAAUUNNNNCAAAGGAAUUGACGGGGGCCCGCACAAGCGGAGGAACAUGUGGUUUAAUUCGAUGAUACGCGAGGAACCUUACCCGGGCUCGAACGGCAAGUGAAGAGAACCAGAGAUGGUGACGCCCUUCGGGGCACUUGUCGAGGUGCUGCAUGGUUGUCGUCAGCUCGUGCCGUGAGGUGUCGGCUCAAGUGCCAUAACGAGCGCAACCCUUGCCGUCAGUUACCAGCACGUAGAGGUGGGGACUCUGGCGGGACUGCCACCGCAAGGUGAGAGGAAGGGGGGGAUGACGUCAAAUCAGCACGGCCCUUACGUCCGGGGCGACACACGUGUUACAAUGGUGGGUACAGAGGGAAGCCAUGUGGCGACACAGAGCGGAACCCAAAAACCCAUCUCAGUUCGGAUCGGAGUCUGCAACCCGACUCCGUGAAGCUGGAUUCGCUAGUAAUCGCGCAUCAGCCAUGGCGCGGUGAAUACGUUCCCGGGCCUUGCUUGUACACACCGCCCGUCAAGCCAUGAAAGCCGGGGGCGCCUGAAGUUCGUGACCGCAAGGAGCGACCUAGGGCGAAACUGGUAAUUGGGGCUAAGUCGUAACAAGGUAGCCGUACCGGAAGGUGUGGCUG